GGGCCGGCCCUGAGCUCUUGCCAAUUGUAUUGGAGGCAGUGGAUUAUACGUGCCAAUGAUGCUAUCGUUUCUGACGUAAAUGGGGAAGCUGUGAUUGGACAGUUUCCACUACUUCGUCCUGGUGAGGCGGAGUUUGUUUAUGAGAGCUGUACGUCUCUACCUGCUUCCAAAGGAUCGGUUGAAGGCUCUUUUACUUUUGUUCCUGGAAGGUUAGUUGAUGCAAAAGGUAGCCCCUUCGCUGUCGAAGUAGCUCGAUUUCCCCUUGCGCUGCCGGACUACAUCUUCUGAUAAACAUCCUGCCCUGCUAGGUGAGUUAGAACUUACUUGCAAGGUUCUAAUGGUGAUGCAAAUUGAAACUUUGUUAUGUUAUAUGAUAUCCUCAGCAUUCUUUCAUUAGUGUGUUUUAUUCCUUUCUAUUUGUAAAGAAUGUGUAGUUUCCUAUAUGAUAUGAUGCUCUCUGCUUGUUUGUUGGUUGGAAUAAUGGUGUAAUUGCUUUGUACUACUAUAGAAGAUGAGAAAUAAUUUGGGAAUGAAUUCUUUUGGCAAAAGUUUGUUUA